GGUCGAAACGGUCACCAGAAAAUUUUCGGCUCGUGGUCUGAGGCCUCGGGUUCCUGUCGUCCCCCGGCUGACCACUCUUCCCAAAGUCGGCUUAACGGCAUUCGACCUCUCCCCGCGUCUCCCUGUCUACCCCUUUCCUGAGCGGGAGACAGCGAGCGAGAGAGAGGCGAGAAAUCCGGAGGCUUCGAGUGAGAGAUCGGAGCGUUUUCUAGGGUUUUUUGGGAAUUCCGGUGAGAAAUCAUCGAAUUAGGCCUUGUUAUCGUGUCCAAUCGACGGAUUCGGGUUCAGGAGGCGUUUGAGCGGUGGAAUUCGUUCGGUUUGGGAGCGCGGAUGAGUGAUCUCCGGCGGUGGCCGUGAGAUGGCGUCCAUGGAGGUGACGAGGGGGAACGGCAGUAAUGGAAGGGGGGAGAACUUCUCCUCUGUGUGCAGCGAGUCCGGCGCCGCCGCCACGAGGACCGUGGCCUCCACCGCUACCGUAGCCGCCGGGAGAGAUGCGGAGGACGCGCUUUAUACUGAGCUCUGGCUCGCGUGCGCUGGGCCUCUGGUGACGAUUCCUCGGGAGACGGAGAGGGUCUUCUAUUUCCCCCAAGGUCAUUUAGAGCAGGUGGAGGCUUCUACAAAUCAGUUGGCCGACAAGCAGAUGAAAAUCUAUGACCUGCCACCCAAAAUCCUUUGCCGGGUGAUCAACGUCCAGCUGAAGGCUGAGCCGGAGACGGAUGAGGUCUUUGCUCAGGUGACGCUGCUCCCCGAGGCAAAUCAAGAUGAGAACGCAGUGGAGAAGGAGACUUUGCCACCUCCACCACCUAGGCCUCAUGUGCACUCAUUCUGCAAGACUUUGACUGCAUCUGACACAAGCACCCACGGCGGGUUCUCUGUUUUAAGGAGGCAUGCAGACGAAUGCCUCCCUCCAUUGGAUAUGCGCUUGCAACCUCCAACACAGGAGCUGUUGGCAAAGGAUUUGCAUGGGGUUGAAUGGCGCUUCCGCCACAUCUUUCGUGGUCAACCAAGAAGACAUCUGCUUCAGAGUGGAUGGAGUGUCUUUGUUAGUUCCAAAAGGCUCGUUGCUGGGGAUGCUUUUAUCUUUCUAAGGGGAGAAUAUGGGGAACUACGUGUCGGGGUGAGGAGGGCUAUGAGACAACAAGCAAAUGUUCCAUCUUCAGUCAUAUCUAGCCACAGUAUGCACCUUGGUGUGCUUGCUACAGCGUGGCAUGCUGUAACAACUGGAACCAUGUUCACUGUUUACUACAAACCAAGGACAAGCCCAUCUGAGUUCAUUAUUCCUUAUGAUCAAUACAUGGAAUCUCUCAAGAACAUCUAUUCUAUAGGGAUGAGAUUCAAGAUGAGGUUUGAAGGUGAAGAGGCCCCAGAGCAGAGAUUUACUGGCACCAUAGUUGGCAUAGGAGAUGUUGACUCCAGCAGCUGGCCUGGAUCAAAAUGGAGAUGCCUCAAGGUGCGGUGGGAUGAGACCUCAUUUGUUCCUCGUCCAGAGAGAGUUUCUCCUUGGAACAUAGAACCUGCUCUGGCUCCUCCAUUGAACCCCCUUCCAACACCUAGGACAAAAAGGCCUCGACCAAAUGCCAUGCCCUCCUCACCUGAUUCAUCUGUUCUUACAAAGGAAGGUGCAAACAAAGUCACUGCAGACCCUUCGCAAGUUCAUGGAGUUCCAAGGGUCUUGCAAGGCCAAGAAAACAUGACCUUGAGAAGUAACUUAAGUGACAGUAAUGAUUCAGACACUGUUCAGAAGCCCCUCAUGUGGCCUUCAUCCCUUGACGAAGACAAAAAUGAUGAUUCUUAUCAGAGAAGGUUGGGUUCAGACAACUGGAUGCAAAUUAAUAGGCAUGAACCUACCUACAAGGACAUGCUAUCUGGAUUUCGACCUUUUGGUGACAUGCGUGGAUGUGGUAAACAUUUUAUUGAACAAAUGUCAACUGGUACAAAUCGAUUGAAGAACUAUUUUCAAGACCAGGAAGGCAAUGUUAACUUGCUUUUGGACCAGUAUUCUUUGAUGCCUUCAAACCCUACCUUCAAUAUGGAGUCAACACUAAGAAUGCCAACACAUUCUGGCGAUUUACCGUAUCAGAAAGCUCAAAAUGUUACAUAUGGUGGAUUGGAAGAUUAUUGUCUAGUGCAAGGUCGUAGGGUCGAACAAAAUCUUCCAAAUUGGCCAGCUCAUCUGCAGUCAACUUCGCAAAGUGAAAACUUUGCACGUCAGAGGGUGGUUAAACCUCAACCUUCGGUAGCAGCCCAGAAUGAAAUAACAAGACCUAAAGAAAGUGGCAAUUGCAAGCUCUUUGGUUUUCAUCUCAACAGCACUUCUGCUCCAUCUGACCAUGUAAUGAGAUCUGAACAUUCAACGCCUCAGCCGAAUGCCACCAAUGACAGUGUGUCACAUACUCAACCUACAGUAGCACAGAACCAAUCUCAAGCUUUAGAAGGUGACCGCCAUUCUAAGUUGCCCAGUGGUACAAAAUUAGUCACUACUGCUCCAGCAGCAACUGAGCAUGAGAUGUAUCAUCAGCAUUGCCCGCAGACUGCUAAAGAAGUUCAGAGCAAGCUUCAGGGCGGCUCAAGUAGGAGCUGCACAAAGGUCCACAAACAAGGAAUUGCACUUGGAAGGUCUGUGGAUCUUGCAAAGUUCAAUUGCUAUGAUGAACUGAUUGCAGAAUUAGAUCAGAUGUUCGAAUUUGAGGGUGAAUUGAUGGCUCCAAACAAAAAUUGGCUGAUUGUAUAUACUGAUGAUGAGGGUGAUAUGAUGCUUGUGGGAGAUGACCCCUGGCUAGAAUUCUGUAGUAUGGCCCGCAAGAUUUAUAUAUACACAAGAGACGAGGUUCAGAACAUGAAUCCAGGAACCCUAAACCCAAGAGUUGAAGGGAUUGCAACGGUUAUGGGAGGAAAUACAGCUGCAAAAGGAAAAAAAGACCCUUUGCCUGCAUCAACAGCUAACCCAGAGAACUGACACAGCUACCUCCUGGAAUUGGUAGGUUUUUGAAGCAGAGGUCAGGGAAAGAGAAGGAUUCAUGGAAAGCUUUUUCUUUGGUGGGGUCUAGCCGAAUUACUUUAUGUCACGAGUGUGGAGUUGGUGUUUUGAGAUGUUGGCUUCUGAGUUAGCUCACUGGUGUAGUUACAGUGGAAUCACAGAAUCUCUGCUGGACAUGACGAAUGUUUGAGAUCGUGAUUUAGAAUUCAAUAUUUGUGAUCAGAUGGUUAUGCACAAGAAUUAACUUGGUCAAAACAACUCAGAAACGUGGAUCAAGUUAUAAACCUAUUUUGACUGGAAACAUAUUAUGGUUUUGCAUCAAUCCUGAUACCCUUAAACCGCCAAGUUGGAGAGAGGAUUCUAAGUUCCAAUGACCAAAAGGAAGGCGAGAUUGGUGAUGUUCCAGAAGGAAAAUGAAUCAAAGUGGACGUGGAAAGUUCUCUGGGCUUAUAAACUUUGGCUUUUGGCAAAUUAGUAUUCUACCAUCCCUAUUUAUCAUAUGAACUCCUGUGUGUGACACUAAUCUGCUCAUGCGGUGUGUGAGGGAAUAUAUGGUUCGCUUGUAAUGGUCUCCACCUUAUAUUAUAAAACGAAUGAUUCAUGUUAA